UACAAAAAUUAGCCGGGCGUGGUGGCGCGUGCCUGUAGUCCCAGCUACUCGGGAGGCUGCGGCAGAAGAACUGCUUGAACCCGGGAGGCAGAGGUUGCAGUGACUGGAGAUUGCGCCACUGCACUUCAGUCUGGGCGACAGAGAGAGACUCUAUCAAAAAAAAAAAAAAAAAAAAAAAAAAAAGAAGCCAGCACUUAGGAGAUUCCAAGGACUUUAGGAGUUGUCUGCGAGGAAAUAGGGACAAAGACCAAAUCUGUAUUUGAGAAAAUCACAGAACCGUAUGAGUAUUUAAUUCAAUACAGACAUGGAAACUGGCCCAAGCAUUUACUCACAGAUGACUGGGCAAAUCCCUGGUCUUAUUGGUACAAACUAUUGAUCAAGCCCCCAAUCUCAUUCCUACCCCUAAAAUAUAGCAAAGUGAAAGAUCUUAUCACUUAUUUGGACUGAGAUUAACACCAUCCCAUAAACUGCAUGGCUUUCAAUCCCAGGGCUAUGGCGUGUGAUGCCACAUAGAAUAUGCACUAAUCUCUCCAGCAAUUGAUUUGUUAGGGUAAAGGCUCUUGUUUUUGCCUUCUUUCUCUCACGGCCAAGAAAAUUAAGGAACAGGGACACAAAGGAUGAGGUCGGAGCGGAAGUUUAAUAAGCAAAAGAAGAAAGCUCUCCCCAGUGGAGGGACCCAAAAGAGGGUUGCCAACUAGGAGGCUGAAUCUGGGGGUUUUAUUAACUGGGAAGAGGAGGAACGUGGGCUGUCUUGGAGAAAGCACUACCCAGCUUGGCCCUGGGACCUUAGCCCGGGACCAAUCCCAGGCUGAAGUGAAAGUUUGGCCCAGGACCAAUCAGGGGCUGAAGUGAAAGUUUGGCCCGGGACCAAUCAGGGGCUGAAGUGAAAGUUUGGCCCGGGACCAAUCAGGGGCUGAAGUGAAAGUUUGGCCCGGGACCAAUCAGGGGCUGAAGUGAAAGUUUGGCCCGGGACCAAUCAGGGGCUGAAGUGAAAGCUUGGCCCGGGACCAAUGAGGGGCUGAAGUUAUGAUUCAAAGAGGCCGGGCUCACAGUCUAAAGCAUGUCCAAAAAAGGAAAGUGGCCGCCGGAACCUGUUAGUCCAAGCUGCACCGUUUCGUAAGCCCCCACCAUUUCACAGACCCUGGUCAGAGGACAACAUUCCACUCGGGUUUGGGCUGUGCGAAACAUCCUUCCCAACCGCCUGACCUCCUUAUCACAUCCUGCUGGGCAAAGGCCCAAGAAACAUCCUUAUCAACUUUCUCCCAGGCAACAAGCCAUACCGCCCAGACCCCUCCUGCCCAGGCCUGUAAUUACCCCAGCCUGGAAGCGGCAGUGGGCUCUGGCAUUUAGUUGGUCCCCGCCAUAGAGCCGCCAACUCUCUCUCUUUCUUUAACCCUCGCCUUCCCUUCAAAAUCUAACAGAGCCCACCGUGUACAUGCCCACAAAAGAAGCGACUAUUUCGUGGAAGCCCGCUGGUCACACAAAGGACAAAGGCGUUUCUAUGUUGGGCCUCGGUCCCUUAUCAGUGCAGCUGAGGAAUGUCUUCAGGACAACCCCCCUGUGGAGUUUUCCUUAUGUAUGCCUGCAGCCUGAUUUUUCAGGCUGUUUCUCUGUUUAAAGGACUUUUACCAAGGUCCCACCCUAACUGCCUAAAGAGUUUUUUCUCUCAAGGGGACACACAAAGUCCCAAUCGCACACAUGCCUCCGCAUAUCCACUUACCCACUGCCUCACAGCCAAUCACACUCUCCUCUCUCACAUACACCAAGGGGCCACACAAGUUGCACUUGCACAGCCACAGACCUGCAACUCACGCACACAAGGUACUGCACAGACACGCAAAGUCACACACCCACCCCGGGACACGCAGUCCAACCACACAGUCACCGGUUCUUCACAUCCGCACGCACAACGAGGCUCGUCCAAGACACACACACCCACUCCGGGCGCGCACAGUCACAAGCGCCUACCUGAUAACCCAGAGUCAGCACCACACAGCCACAGUCACAGACCACGGAGACCCACGGCAACCAUCGCGAUCACACACGCAAACUCCUCUCCUCAGCCCUCCACACACAAAAGGACCGGAGCCGGAUUCCUCACCCUCAGCAUUCUCUGGUUCCGCUCGGGGCCAGCCUAGCCAAGUUCCUCAGGACUCCAAGGCGCGGCGGCAGCUAAAUCGGCACAGCAAACGGUCCCGCCACCUGGCUAAGAGGAAGCCAAAAUCUCGCGAGACGUGGCGUCGGCCUGCGGGAUCCUCUGGGAAAUGUAGUCCAGAGCCCGACUGCGGGCUUCCCUAUGCCUCUCAUUUCCAAGCCUGGCUUGUUUCCAUUUACCGCUCCUCUCCAACGAGGAUCGCAGAGCCCUCAUGCCGAGCGGCUCGCUAUGGGGCCGGCUCGCCCGCUAGAGUGGUCAGGCCUGAUUAUCCCUGGCAGCUCUGUUAUCUGGGGUAAGACACAGGAAAACGUGCUUCCGGUUCUCGGCGGAAGUAGCUCCGAACGGUAGAACCGAUGGGAAAUGUAGUCCAGGGCAGAAAAGCGGUCAACCCAGCCACGAUGCGAGCCAAAGGAUUCUUGGCUCCAAGCCUGGUCCUGGCUGUUAGUUUGGAACUCACGCACCCAGAUGCUAACUCGCCCUCAGAAUGCAGAGGGGAUGAAACACUGACCGGACAAUUCAAUCUGUAUAUGGGAAAUAAACUGGAGGGGAAGACGAAUGGCAGGAGGGUGAAGAGGAAGCUGAAUUACUGUGCAAACACCCGCCACUCAAAUCCGGGUGGUUACUGCGGAGUGAAUAACGAUAGGUACUAUUUCGUGUAAGU